CGGCUCCCUGGCCUAGAAAUGGAGGCCUCACGGGCAGGAGAGGUGGAGAAAGAGAAUGUCUGGAUCCUUCUAGGGGCUGGUUAGAGGGACUGGAAACACGGGUUCCAGGCCUGGCUCCUUGUGUGAGGCUGCAGCACAGCAGCCCCUUGUCCAAAGGUGCUCUGUUCCAAGACCACCAGUGGAUGUCUGGAACUGCAGGGUAGUGGUAUGUAGCUGUAGUGGUAUGUGCUCUCUCUCAAUGCUGAGCUGCAGCUCCCAGUCAGCCACUGGAUCAUGAGGGUAAAAUACGGAUACUUGACAUCUUCUUAAAGAACAUCAUGCCUGCUAAGCCAUCCAGUUUGGAUGCCCCAGUGCCUUCCACCAGCCAUUCUCAAGCCUCAUUAGAAGAGAGAGAUUGAUGACCCUGUAGCUGCAGCAUCCCAUCAUCCUGCAUUUUAGUUCAAUGCUUCAAACGUUCUUCAGGCCCAGUGUGCUUUCAGCUGUGUAUGUUAAUGGGAGAGUGAGCAAGUUUCGUCCUUGUGCCUGCAUCUGCUGGGAAACGAUAAGAGCCCAACAUAUGUUAGAAGCAACAAUCGCAGACAAAGAGUACAACUUGUUUUUGAAGGACAGAGUCGCUUUUUUGCUUUGGAAAGGAAAGUGCACAGCUUGUGUGAACAUUCACCCACUACCCUAGCUCUGCACCCUGCCCCGGCUCCUAAGGCGAACGCCCACGUUACCUCCGCUGUUGCUUCAGAGGGCUGCUGCCAUCUAUGGGCGUCUGUCAGCAUCUGCGCAGGUGCGAUGUCUCCGAGUCGAGACACAUAGGGAGAAUAC
ensembl:lncRNA novel transcript